rnacentral:rRNA from 1 species
AACGUAGGAGACAAACGUUAUCCGGAGUUACUGGGCGUAAAGGGCGUGUAGGUGGUAGAGUAAGUCUGGCGUGAAAUUUUUCGGCUUAACCGGGAAAGGUCGUCGGAUACUGCUUAACUAGAGGACGGUAGAGGCGUGUGGAAUUCCGGGUGUAGUGGUGAAAUGCGUAGAGAUCCGGAGGAACACCAGUGGCGAAGGCAGGUCUCUGGGCCAUAACUGACGCUGAGAAGCGAAAGCAUGGGGAGCGAACAGG